rnacentral:rRNA from 1 species
GCAUGCUAAUACAUGCAAGUCGAACGAGAUCUUCGCGAUCUAGUGGCGCACGCGGUGCGUAACGCGUGGGAAUCUGCCCUUGGGUUCGGAAUAACUUCUGGAAACGGAAGCUAAUACCGGAUGAUGACGUAAGUCCAAAGAUUUAUCGCCCAAGGAUGAGCCCGCGUAGGAUUAGCUAGUUGGUGAGGUAAAGGCUCACCAAGGCGACGAUCCUUAGCCGGUCUGAGAGGAUGAUCAGCCACACUGGGACUGAGACACGGCCCAGACUCCUACGGGAGGCAGCAGUAGGGAAUAUUGGACAAUGGGCGAAAGCCUGAUCCAGCAAUGCCGCGUGAGUGAUGAAGGCCUUAGGGGUUGUAAAGCUCUUUUACCCGGGAUGAUAAUGACAGUACCGGGAGAAUAAGCUCCGGCUAACUCCGUACAGCAGCCGUCGGUAAUACGGAGGGAGCUAGCGUUUGU